CCCCACACAAAGCGUUUCGCUGCCAGUCGCAUCGGGCAACACCACAGCAAGCUCUCUCAAGUGUUUUUUUUAAUGGCUGUCAGUUUUAAUGGUUGGAUUUCUCUAAGCUCGAACCUGAAAGAAAGUCAUCUUUCGACCCGAAACGGCUUCUUUCUUUCGCGUUACUGUGUUUAAUCUGGUGCACGGAAGUUGCCAGCUACAGCUCCCCAGCCCGAAACACCAACUGUGGGGCCCCAGUCGCGGUGGCCACAUUCAGUCAGCCAAGAGCGUAGCAAAUAUCAGUCGAUAAUUACGACGAAACGGAACGCCCUGGGUCUGUGCCUGGCUGGUUCGUGUAAAUAAACCACGUUGGAGUGAUUCUUUUUCCACCCCCCCCCCCCCCUCGUGUAAUCGUGUAAUUGACGAAACCACACAACAGCACGCAGUAGACGGAAGGAAGCAUUGAAGGAUCUCUCCCUAAUCCAAUGUCUAAACUAAACUCCCAUGGGGCUACAGGGCUUAAGAAUAUUAAUCUUGAAGAGAUAUGGACCGAUCUGGAAGCAGGGAUAAAGCAGGUGUACAAACGGGAGCUCAGUUUGGGCAUCGCACGCUACAUGGAACUCUACACACAUGUCUACAAUUACUGUACGAGUGUCCACCAGCAGCCCAACUCGCGCACGGGCUCGUCGAAGAUAUCGAAAAAAGGCAUCAGCGCACCGCCGGGCGGGGCCCAGCUGGUCGGCCAGGAGCUGUACAAACGGUUGAAGGAGUUUCUCGAGAACUACCUCGUGCGGUUGCACCAGAAUGGGAUCGAUCUGAUGGACGAGGAAGUGCUGAGCUUCUACACCAAGCGCUGGGAGGAGUAUCAGUUCUCGAGCAAGGUGCUGAACGGUGUCUGCGCCUACCUGAACCGGCAUUGGGUGAAGCGCGAGUGUGAGGAGGGCCGCAAGGAUGUGUACGAGAUCUACCAGCUGGCGCUGGUGACCUGGCGCGGCAACCUGUUCAAGCAUCUGAACAAGCAGGUAACGAACGCCGUGCUGAAGCUGAUCGAGCGCGAGCGCAAUGGGGAAACGAUCAACUCCCGGCUGGUGUCCGGUGUCAUCAACUGCUACGUCGAGCUCGGCCUCAACGAGGACGAUCCGCACGCCAAGGGUCAGAAUCUGUCGGUGUACAAGGAAAGCUUCGAGAACAUAUUCCUGGAGGAUACGGAACGAUUCUACACGCGCGAGAGUGCCGAAUUUUUGCGCGAAAAUCCCGUCACCGAGUACAUGAAGCGGGUGGAGCUGCGCCUGAACGAGGAACAGAAACGUGUACAGGUGUACCUGCACGAAAGCACACUGGACCGGCUGGCGGAGAAGUGUGAGCGUGUGCUGAUUCACAUUCAUCUCGAUCAGUUCCGGACCGAGUUCCAGAACUUGCUGAACUCGGACAAGAACCAGGAUCUGGGCCGCAUGUACUCGCUGGUCGCCCGCAUCAAGGCCGGUCUGUACGAGCUCAAAGAAAUCCUAGAAACUCACAUCCACAAUCAGGGCCUGGCGGCAAUAGAGAAAUGUGGAGACUCUGCUGUAAAUGACCCGAAAAUUUACGUCCAAACCAUUCUGGAAGUACACAAGAAAUACAACGCAUUAGUACUUACUGCUUUUAACAACGACAGCGGUUUCGUGGCAGCGCUCGAUAAGGCGUGCGGCAAGUUCAUCAACACAAACGCCGUCACCGAGCUGAGCAGAAGCGCCAGCAAGAGCCCCGAGCUGUUGGCUAAGUAUUGUGAUUUGCUGCUGAAGAAGUCUAGUAAAAAUCCGGAGGAAGCGGAACUGGAGGACACGCUCAAUCAAGUGAUGGUUGUGUUCAAGUACAUCGAAGAUAAGGAUGUGUUCCAGAAGUUCUACAGCAAGAUGCUGGCGAAACGGCUUUGCCAACACAUGUCGGCCAGCGACGAUGCGGAAGCGUCCAUGAUAUCGAAGCUGAAGCAGGCCUGUGGCUUCGAGUACACCAGCAAACUGCAGCGGAUGUUCCAGGACAUCGGUGUGUCGAAGGAUCUGAACGAUCAGUACCGGAAGCAUCACGAGAAGCUGCGGGACACGCGCAGCACGACACAGAACGAGAUAGAUUUCAGCAUUCUGGUGCUAUCGAGCGGAUCGUGGCCAUUCGGCCAGGGCUUUACAUUCUCCCUGCCCUUUGAGCUGGAACAGUCGGUCCAUCGAUUUAACAAUUUCUACGCCAAGCAACAUUCCGGCCGUAAACUGAACUGGUUGUACAAUAUGUGUCGCGGCGAGCUCAUUACAAACUGUUUCCGAAUGCGAUACACACUGCAGGCUAGUACCUUCCAAAUGGCCGUGCUGUUGCAAUUCAACGAAGAAACGGCCUGGAGUAUCAAGCAGUUGGGAGAAAACACUGGUAUCAACAAUGAAAAUCUUAUACAAGUGCUUCCAAUUUUGCUGAAGACGAAGCUACUUAACUGCUACGAAGGCGAAGGCAAGCUACACCCAGACUCCACCAUCGAGCUGAACAAGGACUUUAAAAACCGUAAACUCCGCAUCAACAUCAACUUCCCGCUGAAGUCGGAACUGAAGGUGGAACAGGAAGCGACACACAAAAACAUCGAAGAAGAUCGUAAGAUACUCAUCCAGGCGGCGAUCGUGCGUAUCAUGAAGAUGCGAAAGAUGCUCAACCACACGCAGCUCGUGAACGAAGUGUUGAAUCAGCUGUCCACACGAUUUAAGCCGAAGAUUCAAGUGAUAAAGAAAUGUAUCGAUAUUCUGAUAGAGAAAGAAUAUCUGGAACGUCAGGAAGGACAAAAGGAUACCUACAGCUAUCUGGCUUGAUCAGUGAUAAUUUUAAUCAGUAGUGUAGUUAUCUAAAACAAAAACACGUAUUUUCAAUAUCAAACAUCCUAGCUGAGCGUACGUAAAAUACAAAAUCCCCCUCCUCCUCUAAGACAGAACAAAGGUGCGCCAUUGUGAAAACACCUACAAAGAAGGAUAGCAACGUUUAAAUAGUAAAUAGAGGCGAUAGGCGCGAUCAAACGUGACGUAAAAAAACGCAAACCAACAUAAACACGAAUGUAUCUUGAUAAACCAUACAGUGUGCAGCCACAGCCUCUCGGCCAAGGAGCGGGACAGGGACAUGUUACAGUAAAAAUACCCUCAGACACAUCCACAACAGCCAAAACGGUCCCGGAAAGAGAGCGUGCGUGUGUGAACGCACAUAAAGAAACAAUGAUGUGAGAUGCAGAGAACUAUGUAGAAAUGAUGUGUGGAAUUCUUCAGCUCAUAGCUCAUGCUGAAUGGACAAUUCCACCGGAACCGGAAAACAAUGCCAGUAGCAGCAGGGGCAGCGACUGCAGCUAGCAAAAGGCGUGAGGCGCGUUGGAAGUGGAACGUAAAGGGCAGACAGACGAGAAGAGACAGAGGGAGAACAACAACAAAAAGCUAUAGAAUAAUAAUAUUGGUUGUCUGUUUUGUCUUAGUUUGAUUUUUGUUUUGAGAUUUUAGCAGAAUUUUGAAAAUGUGACACAAACGUACACACAACACACAUUCUCACAGAAAUGGCUACGAACUACGUUUUUGCUACGGACGCACAGCAAUCCUCUGUGAUGGGAAGAGAGUAAAAGGGAGCAUAGGCAAUCUGUUUUAUUUUGUUCAGUGUCCCGGACUACGCGAGUUGUUGUGUGACUGACUGUUACUAUAGUUUGAUAGUUUAAAAUGUGUGGACGAGCACCACCAUAUGCCACUCUGUUUCGUUACUCUGUUUUAAGAAUGGUUUGACUCCCAAAUCUUGUGUUAUCCUGCGCUGCUUCUUAGCUUUUGACCCGCCAGUGCUUGUCCUGGGCAUAAUAAUGAAACGCUUUUCGCUCCGGGAAAGCCACUGCUGCAUGUGCGUUGAACCUCCCCCGGAGUGCUAGGACAGUGCACUUUACAGCGCUUUUUUUCUAUUCAACAACUUCUGUCGAUGUUAAUUUGUGUGUGUGUGUGUAUUAUGAUUUUAUGUUGAUGCUGUCUGUAAAAACUGAUUCUCAUACCAUGGAUGCAAGCGCGCAGCUACUACUGCAUCGAAGGCCCAUGUGGUGGAGGCGUACGGGGUCUGUGUCGCAUGCAUCAUUGCGAGCGCUAGUAGGGCAGUACACUACACCCUGGUCGGUCAGUUCCAGAUCGCGCGAGGGACAAUUCUGAAUUCACUUAUAUUGUGUAGCUUUAAAAGAAGAAAAUCCUCUCGGUUCAUGUUUGAACAGUCUCUAUUGAACAGUGUACCCGAUGUUCGAGCUAGGGAUAGAGCUAGAAGGAUGAGGAGACAGAGAGAUACAGAGAACAAAGCUCUUAAAUAUUAAGGACAACUGAGCUUGGAAUAGCUUGGUUAAAAAAAGAAGAAAACUAACAGCGAACAUAAUUCAUUACAGAAUUUACUUGUGUAUGAUCGAUCCAGCCAAUGAUGAAAAUAAAACAAGGAUCUAAACAGCUAGAUAAACAGUAGUAAUCCCUUUCCCUUCCUCUAUUUACGUGCAAGUCGAGUAAUGGUUUUCUAAAAUGUUUGCAAUUUGCUAAACAUAAGAUUUCUGCGCUUUGUAACGGACAUUGAAAUAAUAUGCCGUCAUUUUUAAAAAUUUGGAAUUUCAUUCCGCGAACUGUCAAACAGCAUGUCCGCAGAAAUAGCACGCCGUCCCACGUGAUCUGUCAACUACGGAACGACAAUUAGCACUUGUCAAAAUCACAAGCAUACGCAUUUUCGGGCAUUUUCUCUAUCUUAACAAAAACAGCAAUGAGUGGACGCGAAGGUGGCAAGAAGAAGCCUCUGAAGGCACCGAAAAAGGAGCAGUCCGAGAUGGACGAGGACACUGCUGCGUUCAAGGCGAAGCAGAAGGAACAGCAGAAAGCGCUCGAAGCGGCCAAACAGAAGGCUACCAAGGGUGGCCCGCUACUGCAGGGCGGCAUCAAGAAGUCGGGCAAGAAGUGAUCCGGCAGCUGUUACCGGAACCAGCGGUUGCUGCUAACCUCCUCAUCUGCUGCCACUCAAUCCGACAUCGGGAGGUUAUCCCGGGAGGUCGUCUGCCGCCGUUGGAUCGCCGUUUAAGUUAAGCCUACAAAUUUCCGUGUUUUCAAUGCCCGCGCUGACGGACCCGGUGUGGUUUAUACACUAUUGAUAAAUAAACAUUUUCACUUAACGAUACACGA